CGUCACUUCCGCCGCGGCGCUGAAGGGAGCUCAGAAGAUGGCGGGCGGAGGCGACGGGGCGGAGCGGACCAGGGCAUGGCGGGCCCCGCGGCGCCUCCCGCUGCGCUCGGCGGGUAGAAGGGGAAGAGUGAAAGCGGCAGCGUGAGCUCCUUGGGGAGAGCGGCGGGUUGAACGGUGCGCGGGGCUCCCCUGUCCCCGCAGGUCUGAGAAACAGCUCCUUCGUCACCACUGGACCGCAAAGUUGGCCUCUGCUCAGACGGACAGACAUCAACCUCAGCCGCAGGUCUGGAGCGCUGCAGCGGCAGCCAGAGCGCCCAUUCUACCCUGCCGGGGCUCCCAGGCCUGCUGGCGAGAAGCCACGACCGCUCACCUGCUCCGUGGAACGGCCUGUAGAAAAGAGAGCUGCCCUCAGUGCCUCCAAGUCCUUUUUGACUUCCCCCUCCCCGGCUGCUGCCAGUGCACAGCUCCCGACUGCCCAGCAGGAAUGUCUGGGAGACAACUCUCAGGCCACCCUAUUCUGGAGAUUCACAUUGGAUUAGGCCAAACAGCUGUUUAAAAAAAACAAUACUGCAAGAUCCUGG